rnacentral:rRNA from 1 species
AGCGAACGCUGGCGGCAGGCUUAACACAUGCAAGUCGAGCGGGUCCUUCGGGGUCAGCGGCGGACGGGUGAGUAACGCGUGGGAACGUGCCUUCUGGUUCGGAAUAACCCUGGGAAACUAGGGCUAAUACCGGAUACGCCCUUUUGGGGAAAGGUUUACUGCCGGAAGAUCGGCCCGCGUCUGAUUAGCUAGUUGGUGGGGUAACGGCCUACCAAGGCGACGAUCAGUAGCUGGUCUGAGAGGAUGAUCAGCCACACUGGGACUGAGACACGGCCCAGACUCCUACGGGAGGCAGCAGUGGGGAAUAUUGGACAAUGGGCGCAAGCCUGACCCAGCCAUGCCGCGUGAGUGAUGAAGGCCUUAGGGUUGUAAAGCUCUUUUAUCCGGGACGAUAAUGACGGUACCGGAGGAAUAAGCCCCGGCUAACUUCGUGCCAGCAGCCGCAGUAA